UUACGGCCACAUCACAUUGAGACAUCUGUUCCCGCAAGAUCAGCGAAGUUAAGGAACGUCGAGCCUGGUGAUUACGUAGAUGGGUAAUCGCUUGGGAACACUAGGUGCUGUAA